GACAGAGGCCUCAAGCGUUAGGCGGAAUCACUGGGCUUAAAGCGUGUGUAGGCGGAUCGUUAAGUGCCUUGUGAAAUCCCACGGCUUAACUGUGGAACGGCUGGGCAUACUGGCGGUCUUGAGCCAUCUAGGGGCGACUGGAACAAACGGUGGAGCGGUGAAAUGCGUAGAUAUCGUUUGGAACGCCAAUGGUGAAAACAGGUCGCUGGGGAUGAGCUGACGC
rnacentral:rRNA from 1 species